rnacentral:rRNA from 1 species
UGCCAGCCGCCGCGGUAAUACGUAGGUGGCAAGCGUUGUCCGGAAUUAUUGGGCGUAAAGCGCGCGCAGGCGGUUCCUUAAGUCUGAUGUGAAAGCCCACGGCUCAACCCGCGGCCUGCAUCUGAAACUGGCAGGCUUGAGUCUGGUAGAGGAAAGUGGAAUUCCUGGUGUAGUGGUGGAAUGCGUAGAUAUCGGGAGGAACACCAGUGGCGAAGGCGGCACCCUGGCCCGCACCUGACGCUGAGGCGCGAAAGCGUGGGGAGCAAACCGGAUUAGAUA